rnacentral:rRNA from 1 species
UACGUAGGGUGCGAGCGUUGCCCGGAUUUAUUGGGCGUAAAGGGCGCGUAGGCGGUGAGAUGCGUCCGUUGUGAAAUCGCCCGGCUCAACUGGGCGGGGUCAGCGGAUACGGUCUCACUUGAGCAAGCUAGGGGGCAAUGGAAUUCCCGGUGUAGUGGUGGAAUGCGCAGAUAUCGGGAGGAACACCAGUGGCGAAGGCGGUUGCCUGGGGCUUUGCUGACGCUGAGGCGCGAAAGCGUGGGGAGCGAUCCGG